CAUUGGUGUAUUCAGAAUCAACCAGGUAAUAGCAACCUUGACAUAUAAAAUGAAAAAGCAUUACAUAUUGUAAUUAUAAGGCAAGAAAAUUAAAAUGAGCUUCAUUUAUAUAUUUGUGUUCAUCAAUAUAUAUACAUACUUUGAGGCACUCUGAAACCAUUUGGCCUACUCAUAGCAUCUCGAAGCACACGGGCAUCAUGUGCAGAAUCCUCCCAAUCAGACAGCACAUAUAUAAAUUGCAUGUCAGGCGAACAAAUGUCUAAGACAUUAGUUGCAAUAUCACUUUUUCUUGUUCGAUCCUUGAUUUAUCCUCGACAGAAACGAUCACUCUAAUGAAUGUACCAUCUAAUGCUCCUAAGCAAUUCUAAAACACUAAAAAAAAUUUACAAAAAUAUCUAAGUAAUAAGAAAAUAGAAUAAGGUGUAUUAUCAUAUACCUUGAAAUAUAUUCAUGCAUCAUUUGUGUAGUCUUCUGUAAUAAGCUAAGAGAUUUUGAACAAAACUCUAUGUAAUUUCAAUAUAGCUUUAACACAUAAGUGAAACUGUCGACUCAUGGUUUCUCUGCUUCUAUCAAACUAAUUUUGAAUUGUCCUAUUUUUCUGAUGGUGGGCUACUGUAUAAAGAAACAUAGCAACAAUUUCUUACAAGGAUAUGUUUCGAAAAUCUCUCAAUCCCCCAAUAUUUCUAAGCAUCUCACAGAGUUUACUAAAUAUUCUUCUAUCCAUUCGGAGUUGACUCACACAUAUUCUGUCAUUCUCAUUAAUAAGCUUAUUUAGGUUUUUAAUUCUUAACAAUUUUCUCUCUUUUUUUUUGCUAUCAACUGACACCUCCUAAGAUAGAUCAAUCUCGUGAAAUACCAAGUCAUAUAUACCACAAACAUCAUACACAUAAUGCUAAUGUAAUGCAUUCUUCUCCUUCUCAAAUUCAUAGGGCGACGAGCCAUUUUCUGUAUACACAGUUAUCCAUAGUAUUAUUUUUUAGCAAAAAUAUUGAUAACCAAUAAAAUAAAAUUGAUAAAUAAGAGUCCAAUGCUUUAUUAUAAAAUGAAAAAGCACCUAGUUAUAAGAUAUAGAUAUAAGUAAUGAAAGUAACAUGUGUACAUCAGAAGGAACAAAGAAGUAGAAAGGCAAACUAGUAUAGCAUAACAUAGAAGGAAUAACAUAAUUAUGAUGGCACAGCAAUAACAAAGAAUAUUCCGGCUGCCCUGCCAGCAGGAAGAAAAAAAAUGGGACUCGUAUAUAUAUAUAUUUUUAUUUUUUUUUAUCCCAAGAUUUAGGCUUGAGGGAUGUUGGCUUUAUAUGGGCCAUGCACAAGUCGGCUGCCCCAUCUGUGAAUGCAAUAAAAAACCCAUCCCAAUCCUAUUGGAUUACCCAAAUAGGUCCUAAUGCUCCAUCUACCAGUCCCUUUUUCUAGGAAAAAUCUACCAACCCUAUCUUUAAUACACAAAAUCUUGUUUAGAGGCCCCC
rnacentral:lncRNA from 1 species